rnacentral:misc_RNA from 1 species
UUUCCGUAGGUGAACCUGCGGAAGGAUCAUUAUUGAAUAAACCUGAUGUGGUUGUAGCUGGCCCUUUCGGGAGCAUGUGCACACCCGUCGUCUUUAUCUUUCCACCUGUGCACCUUUUGUAGACCUGGAUGUAACACUUUCCGAGGCAACUCGGUCGGGAGGAAUGCCGUCAGCUUUCCUUGAAUGUCCAGGCCUAUGUUUUCAUAUACCCCAAAGAAUGUAACAGAAUGUAUUAUUGGGCCUUGUGCCUAUAAACUAUAUACAACUUUCAGCAACGGAUCUCUUGGCUCUC